GACGUAGGGUGCAAGCGUUAUCCGGAAUUACUGGGCGUAAAGCGCACGUAGGCGGCUUUGUAAGUUAGAGGUGAAAGCCCGGGGCUCAACUCCGGAAUUGCCUUUAAGACUGCAUCGCUCGAAUUGUGGAGAGGUAAGUGGAAUUCCGAGUGUAGAGGUGAAAUUCGUAGAUAUUCGGAAGAACACCAGUGGCGAAGGCGACUUACUGGACACAUAUUGACGCUGAGGUGCGAAAGCGUGGGGAGCAAACAGG
rnacentral:rRNA from 1 species